rnacentral:lncRNA from 1 species
GAAGAGAGCUGAGGAUAAAGCCAGGGAAACCAUUGAUGGUCUGUUUCAGUAAUCCAGGAGUUAGAGAUUCAAAACUUGAAAGGACUGGAAUUGGUGAGAAAUGGUUGGAUUCAGGAUAUAAUUCAGCAAUGGAACUUGGACGACUUACGAAUAGAUUGGUUAUAGGUUGUGAAGAGGAAAGAUGACACUAUGAUGACUACUAAGGUCUGCUGCACGAGAGUCAGAACAUCACUACAAAAUGAAAAACCUGCACCAGGAGAGAAGCGAGAAGGCACUGCUAAGGGACACUCGAUUUACUCAAGAUGGAAUAAGUACAAAGUUACGUAGUCAGGAGAACUAGUACGAAAAAGGAAUCAGUGACAACGGCCUCCUUGAGCUUCCUACAUGGGAUGCCUGCUGCAGAACUGUCCCUUAGUGAGCCGUGGUGAAGAGGAUCUGCAAAACGGGAUAAUCUUUCUUGAGCAGGGAGGUGAAAGAACCCAGCAAUGGCAUGGAUGGAUGUCCUUGGAAGAAUGGAAGGCCCCAGUGUGGUGGGGUGAGGCUUACAUAAAAGCACCCCCAAAUGCCAUUCACUUUCUUCUUCCUUCCUAAAAUAAUUGAAACUGUGGCUAUUGGUAAGCACCUGGUCUUUGCCCAGCAUUGUAGCAGAGGCUAUAGCAGGAGGCCAGACGUCCAGCUCCCCAGGGAGUAAGGGGUCCCAUGGACACAGCCUGAUGGGACCAGCCAUGAUGGCGGGCAGAGCUGUGUCUGGAAAGGAGUCCAAACACCAAAUUCUAGUAUUGGGAUCUUCAUGGUGAUCAUUUGCAAGGCCUCAAUUCUGCCACAGGCUGUUCUACUAUUCCUUGUUCUACUGUUCCUAGCUUUUUCUUAACACUAUUUGCUAAAUGCUCUUCUUUUGGCCAUAUAAAACUGUUAUUCCUCAGACUACAUACUUAUAAUUUGUGUGUUAUUUUUCAUUCUGCCCUAAAGUUCUAAAGUCCAGAAAUGCCUUUUCAUAUCUUCGCUAUAUACACACACAUAUAUGGAAUAGCAAACUGUGAUUCUCUCCUUGAACCACCCAGGAAUAAUAAAUAUGUGGACUUUUUGAAGGUAGAGACUGUGGCUUGUCAACGACUGUAGAGUUAAAAAACAUGAGUUAUUUCUUUUGAAUAAGUAGGACAAAUAUCACCAGUAUAUUGUAGGUACAAUCAGCUAAACUCUUUUUCCCACAAACGCUGGAUAAAUUUUGUGAUCACAAUUACUGACAUAAUAAUAGUUUUCCUUUCACUGGGAAAAGUCUUCUGUAAUUUUGUGUUCAUUUUGCCUUUUUGCCUGUUUACUGCUAAAAAGCGUGAUAGUCAAAUUGUCUUCUCAUUCAAAUUCUUAACGUUAUGUUGUGAUUUAAAAUCAGAGCCAAAAACACAGAGCUGCUUAUUCACAUUUCUCUAAUUUUUUUACCUAACAAAAAAGAAUAAAUCAUUCACAGACAUCUGAAGAAAAGUUACAUAAUUUUAAAAAAUUAUUACAUGGAGAGUUACUAAGGGUAUUGAGUGAGUUAAAUAUCCAGGAAUUGAUGGCUCUGGUCAGUCUCAUUUUACAGAAUCACUGGGGAGUGAUUUGCAUGUUUUGAAUUUUUAGAAUUUACUUGAUAAAAUAACAUGCAAAUGGGGAGAAUAAAGACAUGAACAAAUUUUAAGUGGCUACCUAGAGAGCCAAGUCUUAAAUUCUCCAACCACUCAUUAUUCCUGAGCUUGAGAAUAAAUCAAUGAAUCAAGAUAAAGCAUGAGUGAAAAGGAAUAAUACUGGGAUAGCCACCAAAGUUUCUUUUAGAAUAAAGAAAAAAAAAAACAGAACGAACAGUUGUGUAUAGUAGCACUGAGAACAUUAGAAUUUCCUUCUUUUGACCCUUCUAGAUAUACUUAUUGUAAUUGUGUUUGGCUCCAGCACUCCUCCUCUUGUUUUUAUUUUGAAUUAGGUCCAGACUUUUUAGCUCCAGGGAAGCUAGGAGUAGUACUAAAAUUGCUCUUUCACUUAAACAGAGCUAAUUGCAGCUACGAUGUCGUUCAUAGACUGGAAAUUAAUGA